UGUGUUGUUGGGUAGGGGAGCGUUCUGUAAGCCUGUGAAGGUGUGUCGUGAGGCAUGCUGGAGGUAUCAGAAGUGCGAAUGCUGACAUAAGUAACGAUAAAGCGGGUGAAAAGCCCGCUCGCCGGAAGACCAAGGGUUCCUGUCCAACGUUAAUCGGGGCAGGGUGAGUCGACCCCUAAGGCGAGGCCGAAAGGCGUAGUCGAUGGGAAACGGGUUAAUAUUCCCGUACUUGGUGUUACUGCGAAGGGGGGACGGAGAAGGCUAUGUUGGCCGGGCGACGGUUGUCCCGGUUUAAGCGUGUAGGUGUGUGUUCCAGGUAAAUCCGGUUCACUUUAACACUGAGGCGUGACGACGAGGCACUACGGUGCUGAAGCAACAAAUGCCCUGCUUCCAGGAAAAGCCUCUAAGCAUCAGGUAACAUCAAAUCGUACCCCAAACCGACACAGGUGGUCAGGUAGAGAAUACCAAGGCGCUUGAGAGAACUCGGGUGAAGGAACUAGGCAAAAUGGUGCCGUAACUUCGGGAGAAGGCACGCUGACACGUAGGUGAAGUGAUUUACUCAUGGAGCUGAAGUCAGUCGAAGAUACCAGCUGGCUGCAACUGUUUAUUAAAAACACAGCACUGUGCAAACACGAAAGUGGACGUAUACGGUGUGACGCCUGCCCGGUGCCGGAAGGUUAAUUGAUGGGGUCAGCGCAAGCGAAGCUCCUGAUCGAAGCCCCGGUAAACGGCGGCCGUAACUAUAACGGUCCUAAGGUAGCGAAAUUCCUUGUCGGGUAAGUUCCGACCUGCACGAAUGGCGUAAUGAUGGCCAGGCUGUCUCCACCCGAGACUCAGUGAAAUUGAACUCGCUGUGAAGAUGCAGUGUACCCGCGGCAAGACGGAAAGACCCCGUGAACCUUUACUAUAGCUUGACACUGAACAUUGAGCCUUGAUGUGUAGGAUAGGUGGGAGGCUUUGAAGUGUGGACGCCAGUCUGCAUGGAGCCGACCUUGAAAUACCACCCUUUAAUGUUUGAUGUUCUAACGUGGACCCGUUACCCGGGUUGCGGACAGUGUCUGGUGGGUAGUUUGACUGGGGCGGUCUCCUCCUAAAGAGUAACGGAGGAGCACGAAGGUUGGCUAAUCCUGGUCGGACAUCAGGAGGUUAGUGCAAUGGCAUAAGCCAGCUUGACUGCGAGCGUGACGGCGCGAGCAGGUGCGAAAGCAGGUCAUAGUGAUCCGGUGGUUCUGAAUGGAAGGGCCAUCGCUCAACGGAUAAAAGGUACUCCGGGGAUAACAGGCUGAUACCGCCCAAGAGUUCAUAUCGACGGCGGUGUUUGGCACCUCGAUGUCGGCUCAUCACAUCCUGGGGCUGAAGUAGGUCCCAAGGGUAUGGCUGUUCGCCAUUUAAAGUGGUACGCGAGCUGGGUUUAGAACGUCGUGAGACAGUUCGGUCCCUAUCUGCCGUGGGCGCUGGAGAACUGAGGGGGGCUGCUCCUAGUACGAGAGGACCGGAGUGGACGCAUCACUGGUGUUCGGGUUGUCAUGCCAAUGGCACUGCCCGGUAGCUAAAUGCGGAAGAGAUAAGUGCUGAAAGCAUCUAAGCACGAAACUUGCCCCGA
rnacentral:rRNA from 2 species